rnacentral:rRNA from 1 species
UAGGGAACCUUCCACAAUGGACGCAAGUCUGAUGGAGCAACGCCGCGUGAGUGAAGAAGGGUUUCGGCUCGUAAAGCUCUGUUGUUAAAGAAGAACGUGGGUAAGAGUAACUGUUUACCCAGUGACGGUAUUUAACCAGAAAGCCACGGCUAACUACGUACCAG